rfam:Dictyostelium fasciculatum unplaced genomic scaffold Scf_ETAJFTG02HR96I-5, whole genome shotgun sequence.
AAAACGGUGUUUUUUCAACACCACCCAUUUUAUUUAAACAAUCAUGU